rnacentral:misc_RNA from 1 species
UACAGAGGUCCCGAGCGUUGUUCGGAUUCACUGGGCGUAAAGGGUGCGUAGGUGGCCGGGAAAGUUUGAUGUGAAAGCUCGGAGCUCAACUCCGAAAUGGCAUUGAAAACUAUCCGGCUGGAGGCUUGGAGGGGAGACUGGAAUUCUCGGUGUAGCAGUGAAAUGCGUAGAUAUCGAGAGGAACACCGGUGGCGAAGGCGAGUCUCUGGACAAGACCUGACACUGAGGCACGAAAGCUAGGGGAGCAAACAGG